GAUAUUGGACAAUGGGGGCAACCCUGAUCCAGCCAUGCCGCGUGUGUGAAGAAGGUCUUCGGAGUGUAAAGCACUUUAAGUUGGGGGGAAGGGCUGUAGGUUAAUACCCUGAAGUUUUGACGUUACCAACAGAAUCAUCACCUGCUUACGUAGUGCCAGCAGCCGCGGUAAUACAGAGGGUGCAAGCGUUAAUCGGAAUUACUGGUCAUAAAGCGAGCGUAGGUGGUUCAGUAAGAUGGGUGUGAAAUCCCCGGGCUUAACCUGGGAACUGCUUUCAUAACUGCUGAGGUAGAGUACGGUAGAGGGUAGUGGAAUAUCCUGUGUAGCGGUGAAAUGCGUAAAUAUAGGAAGGAACAACAGUGGCGAAGGCGACUACCUGGACUGAUACUGACACUGAGGUGCGAAAGCGUGGGGAGCAAACA
rnacentral:rRNA from 1 species